UAAUACGUAGGAGGCGAACGUUAUUCGGAUUUACUGGGCGUAAAGUGAGCGUAGGCGGUUCCUUAAGUCAGAUGUGAAAUCUUCUGAUUCAAUCAGAAGGCGUCAUUUGAUACUGAGGGACUUGAGAGCAGCAGAGGGAAAUGGAAUCCCCGGUGUAGCGGUGAAAUGCGUAGAUAUCGGGGAGAACACCAGUGGCGAAGGCGAUUUCCCAGGUUGUUUCUGACGCUGAGGCUCGAAAGCGUGGGGAGCGAAGCGGAUUAGAUACCCGCGUAGUCCACGCCCUAAACGGUGGACACUAGAUAUAGGAGGUAUCGACCCCUUCUGUGUCGAAGCUAACGCCUUAAGUGUCCCGCCUGGGUAGUACGGCCGCAAGGCUG
rnacentral:rRNA from 1 species